AACGAACGCUGGCGGCGUGCUUAACACAUGCAAGUCGAACGCGAAAUUUUUUCUUCGGAAGAAAGAGUAGAGUGGCGCACGGGUGAGUAACGCGUAAGUAAUCUACCCUGGCAUCUGGAAUAACUCACCGAAAGGUGUGCUAAUACCGGAUACGUUGAUUUAUCAAGAAAGGUGGCCUCUGAUUCAAGCUACUGUGCUGGGAGGAGCUUGCGUACCAUUAGCUAGUUGGUAGGGUAAUGGCCUACCAAGGCGACGAUGGUUAGCGGGUCUGAGAGGAUGAUCCGCCACACUGGAACUGGAACACGGACCAGACUCCUACGGGAGGCAGCAGUGAGGAAUAUUGCGCAAUGGGGGAAACCCUGACGCAGCGACGCCGCGUGGAUGAUGAAGGCCUUCGGGUCGUAAAAUCCUGUCAGAUGGAAAGAAGUGUAGUAUGCUUAAUACGUGUACUAUUUGACGGUACCAUCAAAGGAAGCACCGGCUAACUCCGU
rnacentral:rRNA from 1 species